GGAGAGGUGGCUGAGUGGCCGAAAGCAGCGCACUGCUAAUGCGUUAAGGCAGAAAUGCCUUCGUGGGUUCGAAUCCCACCCUCUCCGCCG
rnacentral:tRNA from 1 species